rnacentral:rRNA from 1 species
GAUGAACGCUAGCUACAGGCUUAACACAUGCAAGUCGAGGGGAAACGAUGAGAGAGCUUGCUCUCUUAGGCGUCGACCGGCGCACGGGUGAGUAACGCGUAUCCAACCUACCCAUUACAGGGGGAUAACCUUGCGCAAGUAAGACUACUACCCCAUGGCAUUUUCUGGUGGCUUCAUUAUAGGAUUAACGAUUUAUUUGUCAUGGAUGGGGAUGCGUCUGAUUAGCUUGUUGGCGGGGUAACGGCCCACCAAGGCAACGAUCAGUAGGGGUUCUGAGAGGAAGGUACCCUACAUUGGAACUGAGACACGGUCCAAACUCCUACGGGAGGCAGCAGUGAGGAAUAUUGGUCAAGGGGCGAGAGCUUGAACCAGCCAAGUAGCGUGCAGGAUGACGGCCCUAGGGGUUGUAAACUGCUUUUAUAGGGGAAUAAAGUGAGCUACGGGGAGUUUAUUGCAUGUACCCAAUGAAUAAGAACCGGCUAAUUCCGUG